rnacentral:rRNA from 1 species
ACUCCUACGGGAGGCAGCAGUGGGGAAUAUUGCGCAAUGGGCGGAAGCCUGACGCAGCGACGCCGCGUGAGGGAUGAAGGCCUUCGGGUCGUAAACCUCUUUCAGCAGGGAAGAAGCGAGAGUGACGGUACCUGCAGAAGAAGCACCGGCUAACUACGUGCCAGCAGCCGCGGUAAUACGUAGGGUGCAAGCGUUGUCCGGAAUUAUUGGGCGUAAAGAGCUCGUAGGCGGUCUGUCGCGUCUGCUGUGAAAACUCAGGGCUUAACCCUGAGCUUGCAGUGGGUACGGGCAGACUAGAGUGCGGUAGGGGAGACUGGAAUUCCUGGUGUAGCGGUGAAAUGCGCAGAUAUCAGGAGGAACACCGGUGGCGAAGGCGGGUCUCUGGGCCGUAACUGACACUGAGGAGCGAAAGCAUGGGGAGCGAACAGGAUUAGAUACCCAGGUAGUCCAUGCCGUAAACGUUGGGCGCUAGGUGUGGGGACCUUUCCAUGGUUUCCGUGCCGCAGCUAACGCAUUAAGCGCCCCGCCUGGGGAGUACGGCCGCAAGGCUAAAACUCAAAGGAAUUGACGGGGGCCCGCACAAGCGGCGGAGCAUGCGGAUUAAUUCGAUGCAACGCGAAGAACCUUACCAAGGCUUGACAUGGGGUGAAAACUCGCAGAGAUGCGGGGUCCGUAAGGGCGCCUCACAGGUGGUGCAUGGUUGUCGUCAGCUCGUGUCGUGAGAUGUUGGGUUAAGUCCCGCAACGAGCGCAACCCUCGUUCCAUGUUGCCAGCGCGUUAUGGCGGGGACUCAUGGGAGACUGCCGGGGUCAACUCGGA